rnacentral:rRNA from 1 species
UACGGGAGGCAGCAGCAGGGAAUAUUGCGCAAUGAGCGAAAGCUUGAGCGCAGCGACACCGCGUGUGGGAUGACGGAUCUAGGUUUGUAAACCACUUUCAGGAGGGAAGAAAAUGACGGUACCUCCACAAGAAGCCCCGGCCAACUACGUGCCAGCAGCCGCGGUAAUACGUAGGGGGCGAGCGUUGUCCGGAUUUAUUGGGCGUAAAGAGCUCGUAGGCGGUUCAACAAGUCGGUCGUGAAAGUUCAGGGCUCAACCCUGAAAUGUCGAUCGAUACUGUUGUGACUAGGAUCACGGUAGAGGUGAGUGGAAUUCCGAGUGUAGCGGUGAAAUGCGUAGAUAUUCGGAGGAACACCAAUUGCGAAGGCAGCUCACUGGGCCGCUAUCGACGCUGAGGAGCGAAAGCUAGGGGAGCAAACAGGAUUAGAUACCCAUGGUAGUCCUAGC